ACUUUAUUUAAGAACAGAGUACAUUAUAAAUGAAACAAAAUAACGCUCUUUUUUCUCAAGCCCUGAACUGUAACUGACGUGAGGCUCGUUGUUGUGUCAUCUAAUCUGCAGUGUUGCCAACCUGCGCAUUAUUUAUGAAAUGACCCACGUAAUACUCUAUGCUUUGCCUGCAUAUUGCCUUCUUUCAGUACUGCCAUUCUGCAAGAGAGAUGAAGCUCGUCUACAAUAGAUAAUGCCAUUGUAUAGCCGUGAUACGUUCAGUCUAUUUUUGAGAUUGUAAUCUGGUUGUCCAUUUUGUGGCAAGUUGUUGGAAAGACUUCAUGUUGAAGUAACCUUUUUUAUGCUGUGAGCACAGCUCCUUUCUGAGAUUGUAUUCUGAGGGUUAUUUUAUGGAAAGUUGUUUUGAAAGACAUCAUAUCAGGUAGAACCUUUUUUUUACUUAGACUCUUGUUAAUUACAGUCAUUUAAAAUUCUGAAUGUCUGUACUACGAUAAUACUCGAUGCUAUGCCUGCAUAUUGCCCUUUUUCAGUUUUGCCAUUCUGCAAGAAAGGUGAAGCUCGUGUACAGUAGAGAGUGACAUAUAACUGUGAUAUGUUAAUGGAGAGAGUAGCUUCUUUUUGAGGUCAUUUUCUUGCUGGAAAUACUUAUCAAGAAGUACCUUUUCUUGAUAUUGUAUGUCAUUAAUUACAGUUAUUUAAAUUUUUGGAUGUUAUUUGAAAUAAGCAUCAUCAGCAUUGUAACAUGGUGAUUAACUUUCAACAAUAUCCAAGAAAUUAAUUGUAUGAUCUUAUAUUUGUACAUGAUACCAUGACAUUUCCUGAGACUAUCAUGAAGUAGUUGUAUGUUAUUUCCUUAGGUGCCCUGGUACUCCGGUUAUUCUGCGCAAAAAGAAAUGGAGAACCUCUUGUAAUGGAUUAAGUAGACAAGCAGACAAAUGUUAACCUUGCACCAUUGUGUUCUCUAGUCAGUAGAGAAUGCCAUUGUAUAGCCAUGAUAGAUGGAGUAAAAGCACAGCUGCUUAUUGAGAUCAAAAGGAUACCUCAUAGAUGGGUUUCCAGAUCACUGUGGACAACCAUGUUUUGAACUCAACUGUGGUGACAUAUGCAGCGGUCCUUGGUGAGGAUUGAUGGUGAUCUUUCCUAUCCUACCUAAGCAUCUAUGCCAUUUGCAGAUUUUGGAUGUUUUGUGUCCUCAAAUCAGACUCUGCAGGCUGCAGGUCAUCCAUCUGCUUGAAGUUGUCUCUUCCUACUUGAUGAGUAUUAGACAAGCUUUUCUUAAUACGUUCAAGUGUUAGAAAUUACUGCCAGUUGUAGUUCAUUAUUUGUUUUGACACCGAACUAUUUUGUGCAAAUUGUGAAUGUUGCCAUGUAUGGGUGUGUCCCCAACUCCUGUGAAUUUCAUGUUCUUGAAGUUUUAUGCUGAUUCUUUUAGGGAAAACUUAAUAGACAUAGUUCUGAGUAAAUGGUUGUAUUUAGAAGUGGCAAAUGAUUUUGAUGAUUAGGGCAGCAAAACUAGGACUAAAUGAGGGCAUGUCUGUACUAGCAUAACACUCUGCUUUGCCCACAUGAUGUCUGUUUUUCACUUUUACUAUUCUGCAAGGGAGAUGUUCCUGUACAAUCAGGAAUGCUAUUGCUGUGAUGCAUUCAGUGAGAGCACAACUCGUUUUUGAGAUUGUAUUCUGGAUGCUGUUUUGUGCCAAUUGAAAGACUUCGUAUCAGGGGGUACCCUUUUAUUUAUGCUGUAUGUUGUUAAUUUGAGUUAUUUAAAGUUUAGAGGUUAUUUCACUUUAAUAUUAAUGUUGUAACAUGAUCAGCUUUACGGCAAAAUCAGAGAACUUCGUGUUAUGAUUUCAUACUUAGCAUGACACUAGUUGUUGCUUCAUAGCACAGUGUAGUAGUUGGACUAUUUUUUUCCCUCAGGUGUACUGGUACUUGGUCACAGUACAAAAUGUCUCAAAAAAUGGUACCUUUUGUAAUGGAUUAAGUAUACAAGCCCAGCCCACACAUGUGUACCUUACGUGACGGAGAUGAUGCUAUGGCUUGAAAACUUUGAGAUGAUUCCCCACCACUGGGCAAGCUGCACAGUCUCCAUGGAUAUUGUUAUCCAGUUUGAAGCUUGAGGUUGGCCAUGUCUUGGGAAUGGUGUUGAAGCUGCAUUUCUUGUAUCAAUCAGCAGGGUUUAAUAUCGAGAUAAGCUCAGAGCUAUGAUUACAGAUUAUUCAGAACUUUGGAAUUAUUCUGAAGGAAAUUUCUGGAAUGCUGAAUGAUUAUUACUUGGAAUGAUUGGGUUAAUAUUUUUUGAUAGAAAGACUUGAAGUAUUAACAAUUUUUUUGUUGUUGUGUUCACUAUCAUGACAAAACUUGAUAAAAUUUCUAUUGCAUUUAUAAUUGUUAUAAUUCAUUGUGUUAAGCCCUUGCAUGGUAGGGUGUGCUUCAUGGCCAGGAGAUAUUUUAGUGGCACAUAUUCCUAGUCUUGCUGCUGCAGUUUUUCAACCAUCUCACAGCCGUGAGAAUGCUGAGGAAGUGUUUUGAGAUUUUUAGUGUAUUGCUGCUAUAUGGGUGUAGGUGAUCAUUGGAUAUGUUGUGAUGGAGGUGUUAACAACAGCAGAAUAAGCUUAUUUUAGUAGUUUGAUAAAUGCCUUUAAGAUUUACAAAAGUUUUCAUUUGAAUAUUUCCAAGCUAAUGUAAAUAUUAUUAAUGCAACUCAUAAAUGCUUUGAAUUGUGUUAUUAGAUUACUGUUGCUAGAGGUUAAUCUGUUGCUGUUGACAGUUGGCACAGCAAGCACUCAGAAACUGAAGGUACUUCUUAUCUGGUUAACUAGUUCAAACAGUGCAUAGAAUAGGAUGUGGUUAAUGUUUGUUUCUGGUCAGUGAUGAAACCCUAAAAUGAAAGUUAAUUGAAAAGAAAAAAGAAAAGCUCUUGUGUGAUGCAUGUAUUUUGAUGUGGUAUCAUGCUUUAGUGAGUACUUCAGAUGUGGAGCAAGUAAGGGUUGAAAUGAGCAAAUCCCUUCUAAUAGAACAAGACACAAUUAUAUGUACAUGAUAUAAUCUUCAAUGAGUGAUCAGUUCAAUUUAUUAUUAUUGGACAGUUAUUAGUUUAACAUCGUUUAUAAAUUCAACUCAAAAUACUGUGGUUCAGGAAAUAUAAGGCUUCUAAAACUGAGGUGACUUGUUGGGACAUCUGUAAAUUAUAAUUGGGCUGCUUUUGUUUCAGUGUUUUCAUUAAAGUUUGCAGGCAGUUUUAUGAUACUAAUUUAUCCCGUGUUUCAUGUGUUGAGGGGGGAAAGAAAUUUUGUUUUCUGCAUAGAUUUCCUCUGGUUCCUUGCUUGCCACAACAAUUUAUGAAGAUUCUGUUUAUUUCUUGCCGAUGCUGUUGGGUGUACUGUGCUUGGAUUAGGUGCUGCAUAUCAGAAGGUGUGUGCUGAAUGAAGUUCAGUAGAACACAAUUCCUCCAUAAUGUAUAAGUUGAAAUGCAGGGUUUUCAUGCAGUUCAUGCUGUGAUGGCACUGGACAAAGAUUGUGUUUUGGUCUGGUUAACAAAGUUGGAAUACAUCAAUAGUAAGUAGUGUCCAUCACUAAGAACUGUAAUAAAUUUGUAUAUGCUUUGCUUUAGAACUAGUUUUGAAUAGUAGAAUAUGGAUUUAAACAUGAUCAGCCAGAUAUUUUUCUCAUAUUUUGAUUUUUAUUCUAUCUGUUAAAUGUAUGUGUGAUGGAAAGUCAAAAUGUUUUAAUUAUCACCAUGAGAAAAUCAUAAUUCCAAAAUAUUGUUCUGUGUAGGAGAUAGACCAUUUCCUGAGCUUGCCGAACAAUCAAAUUCUCCUGCACCAACUGCGCAGAGGGAGCCACCAGAAGGGGCAGAAGCAAAAUGGCGAUAUCGGUUGAAAAAGUGGAGGCUCAUGCUGUGAUACAGUUCCUGCAUUUGCUAGGGAAAUCUGCCAGGGAGAUCCACAACCAGAUGACCACUGUGUAUCAGGAAGGUGUACCAUCGUAUGACACAGUGGUCAGGUGGAAAAGGCGUUUUCAUUGUGGACAGACAAACCUUGAAGAUGAACCCUGAAGUGGAAGACCAUCUCUCCCUGAGGAACCAGGAAUUGUGGCACAGGUGGAAAGCUUUGAUCCUAUCUGAUGGGCACAUAACUAUUGAAGCUAUUGUUGAUGAGGUCUGCAUUAGCCAUGGGUCGGUUUUCAGCAUCAUCCAUGACAAGUUACACAUGACAAAGGUCACUGUGCGUUGGGUGUCAUGAUUGUUGACACCAGUUUAAAAACAGCAACGGACAGAUGUGGCAAAGAAACUCUUGCAGUUGUGUCAAUAUGAAAAGGUGGAAUUUUUCGACCACCUGAUCACGAUGGCUGAAUGUUGGGUCUAUCAUUAUGACCCUGAAAUGAAGAAAAUAAGCAAGCAGUGGAAACAUGCAGACUUGCUGCCACCAAAGAAGGUCAAAUCCCAGCCGUCAUCAAGAAUGGACACAUGUCAAAAUAUGCUCAACACGUGCUAGACACAGGCCACACAUAUGGCACAAUUGAAGAGACCGUGGAAGUGGUAGAGAGAGCAGAGAAAAGCCAUUUACUUAAUACACUCAAACGACUUUUUAUAUAAAUGACUUAAGUAAAAGGAAGCUACAGAUGAACGACACUUACACAGAUACGCAUAAACCCAUCUUUGACCUUAUAAUAAAUAAUCCCAAUUACUAUACUUGCAUAACAUUCCCAUCCCCCCAUAUUCCACCAUCACUCCCCUCGCACACACACACACACACACACACACACA